rnacentral:lncRNA from 1 species
UCUCUGGCAAGCAAAACUCCCUGCUCCAGGAACCCCAGUCGCGUGGAGGAUGGAGUUUGUCACUUUUGGAAGAUAAGUGGGAAAGCUUGUUAAUUUUGUUCAUUUGCUUAAGGUAGAUCCUCCUGUAGCCCAGGUUAGCCACACUCAUGGCAGUCCUUCUCUGUCAGCACCCCGAGUUCUGAGCUUCUAGGUGUGAGAAAGCUGCCACAAACAAGUUUGUAAAGACAGAAGACAGACACAGGCCUAGGCCUGCAGCCUAGCAGCUUCCCCGGGGGCAGCCAGCAAGGAGCCUCCGGUGUCCACCCCAGACGUCACCACACACACCUAUCAGCUGUCAUCUCCCAUCUGGCUAGCCCAGACUGCCAUCCGAGACCCACGCCUUGUGGCUUUCUUUCUCUCUUCAGACCCCCACUGUGCAACCCCCAGUGAUUGUGCAUCAGGUGAUAAGACCACAGAGGCUGCUUACCUUCUGUGCCUGCGCUGCCACGGUGCCCUCAGAUACGCAGGAGGGGAGAUGGGACAUCAAAGUCACCGGUGCCAGUGGGGGGUUCAGAGAACCACGGCAGGCCCUGGGUCACCUGAGCUGAUUCCCAGGCUGCCCUUGGGACAGGAUGCAGGAGGCCGCUUACCUCCCACUAGA